UCAAGAGCUAAGAGGUGAUCUUGUUUAUGGAAUCUUCAGCUCAGCAUGUAAGAGACGGACAGGCCAGUGGACAUAGCACAGCCACAGGAGGAAGACAAAACAGGAAUAAGGAGGGAAGCACCUUUCCGAAAGACCUCCAAAAUAUGGCAGAAAGGGACAGAGGAGGUGGCUUUGAUGGUCAUGGUAACGAUCGUCAGGCCGACUGAGGGAAUACCAGGUGUGCACGUCCAGCGUCACAGCCCCGAAUAAUCUGCAAUACGGCUCAUUUCGAUUUCUCAGCUCCGUGCCAGCCCCUUCAAUAAUAGCAGGCAAUUUAAUUUCAUCUGUUAGGGGUUACGUUCUCUUUACUCUAAUAAAGCAAAUGCUUCUG